rnacentral:rRNA from 1 species
UACGUAGGGUGCGAGCGUUGUCCGGAAUUAUUGGGCGUAAAGAGCUCGUAGGCGGUCUGUCGCGUCGAUCGUGAAAACUUGGGGCUUAACCCUGAGCUUGCGGUCGAUACGGGCAUGACUGGAGUUCGGCAGGGGAGACUGGAAUUCCUGGUGUAGCGGUGAAAUGCGCAGAUAUCAGGAGGAACACCGGUGGCGAAGGCGGCAUCCUGGACCAACACUGACGCUGAGUGAGCGAAAGCCAGGGGAGCAAACGGG